rnacentral:rRNA from 1 species
CCUACGGGAGGCAGCAGUGGGGAAUAUUGCACAAUGGGCGAAAGCCUGAUGCAGCAACGCCGCGUGAAGGAUGAAGGUUCUAUGGAUCGUAAACCUCUUUUAUAAGGGAAUAAAGUGUGGGACGUGUCCUGUUUUGUAUGUACCUUAUGAAUAAGGAUCGGCUAACUCCGUGCCAGCAGCCGCGGUAAUACGGAGGAUCCGAGCGUUAUCCGGAUUUAUUGGGUUUAAAGGGUGCGUAGGCGGCCUUUUAAGUCAGCGGUGAAAGUCUGUGGCUCAACCAUAGAAUUGCCGUUGAAACUGGGAGGCUUGAGUAUGUUUGAGGCAGGCGGAAUGCGUGGUGUAGCGGUGAAAUGCUUAGAUAUCACGCAGAACCCCGAUUGCGAAGGCAGCCUGCCAAGCCAUGACUGACGCUGAUGCACGAAAGCGUGGGGAUCAAACAGGAUUAGAUACCCGGGUAGUC